UCUUCCAGCCGAGCUACAGUAGGUGGCGUUAUCAACUUUACUACUCUGCUCUCUAACUCAACAUACUGCCAGAAGAAGAAGAAGAAGAAGAAGGAAGAUAUACGUGGCGUAUUUACUGUGCUCCGUGUCCAGUGUUUAUGUAAAAAAGCCAUUGUUCAGUUUAUGCACAUUUAAAAUAGGUGUUGUAUGAAGAUUAUUUUAUAUCUCAUUUAGAAGAAAAGGUGUGGCAUAUUUAGUGAGUCGCGCCACCGCGAAUCAGUUCAGUUAGGAAUCAACCAAAUCAAGCAAGCGUUCGCGAAUCAGUUCAGUUCAAGUCAACCGAAUGAUAAAAACGAAAGUGAAUCAGUUCAGGAAUGGCGAUGUGAAAGCGGAGGUCCUACAAUCUCAUCUUUUACGGCGUAAAACAGUAAACUAUCCACUCGUUCUGUAGCACCUUCACUUUGUGAACUGCAGAAGGGUGUAUGAUAAUCUGGAUUGACAGCGGAUGGUUUUUAAUAACGCUUAUAGACGGUGCCGAAGUCUCGCUCGUGACGAUCCUUGCAAGUGCGUCAAUGAAAAACAACCACACAUGUGCAAGAGUCGUAUGAAGCAGUAUCAUAAUUAUUCAGCAACAUUUAGUACCGGCUGGAAUUUUUGCCCUUCUCAUCGCGGGAGGAUUCAUUGUGCACCAACGGCCCUGAGACUGUAGCUAAAAGACCAGCUUCAUUCAACCUCCUGGUAUCUGAACGUGUAGAAAGGACUUUUUAUAAUAGUUUUCUUUAUUAUUGAUUUGUAAGCAAUCAGCAUUAUUCUUUCAUACUAUUGUGAACCUUUUUAUUUCAUUAUUAUUUGCUCAGGCCUACGCUUUUUUGAUGUAUGUUUUUGUUCAUUUAAAUAAUAUUUUUAUUUGAGAAUUAAUAUAUCCUAUUUGAGUAAACACCUACAAUUUAGUACGUCUGUGUUUUUUUCUUUCAUGGUUAUUGGACAUUAAUAGUGUUAAUAUACAUACUGAGACGAUUGGCACCGUAACAGUUACCAGUGCAACCCAGUUCUUCAUAACAGUUUAUACUGCUUCAGUGUCUGCUAUAGUUUCUACUGGACAUCACACUCUACACAUCCAUCAUGGAGGACACACACACUUCUGGAGAUCAGGAUUUGUCUACAGGACACAGAUCAUAUAAGAGGAGGAGAGCAGAAGCAGAGCCCAGCUGUGUGUCUCUGAAGAGUGACGCGUCUAUUGAUAAUAAAAGAACUAAUUUUAGGAGUGAACACACACCACCUGCUGUCCUCAGGUAGAUCAUGUCUAUUAGAUCUGCAACUAAUGAUUAUUCCCAUAAUAAAUGAGUCAAGUGAUUUUUUUCAUUUAUUUGAGAUUAAAAGGUGAGAUGUUGUAUCUGAGCUCUGCAGGAUAGUGUCUCUCCAGGGUUGAAGAUCUCCUGCCAUAAAGGGCUUUUCCUGCACACUUUCCCCUGCUGUUUCUGUGCUGUACUGAUCAGCCAUUCCUCUGAUCUGAGUCUGUUUUCACUGAAGCGCAGUCAUCAUCAUGUUGUGUUGGCCUCAUAGAUGCUGCUGAUCAA